rnacentral:rRNA from 1 species
ACCAAAUUCUCAACGAUGGAUAUCUUGGUUCCCAUAACGAUGAAGAACGCAGCGAAGUGCGAUAAGCAAUGCGAAUUGCAGAACCGUGAGUCAUCAGAUUUUUGAACGCAACUUGCGCCGAGAGGAGGUCACUCCUCCCGGCAUGCUUGUUUCAGUGUCUC